UCAGAGUAGGGUGAGGGCCUUCGGAGGGGGCAGGGCGGGAUAUUUGCAGUCAGAGCAAUGUAACUACAUGCAAGGAAACCCCCCUACUAAAACUCUAUAUUAAACAUUGAGCUCUAGAAUCAUUCUUCAGUGAAAUCAGUUAAUGUUCCCCAGAUAAAGAAGAGUAGCACAAGUUUUAUUAUGCUAACCAUUUAUAAUCAUGUGUAAGGUUCACUUUAGCAUACUAAAAGGCCCAGGCUUACGUGCUGUUUUUCCUCCUUCAGAUCUGAUGAAGUGAUUUUGCAAACUGGGCAACUAAUUUAGCAAGUAAGCCCAGGCAUAAACAACACAGUAAAAGGCAGGAAGGAUUCCACCUUAAAGAUAAGAUUGCAUUUUAAUACCCAAGAAGUUAAGACGUUAGAAAUUCUUCACUUACUCUUUAGCAAACAAUACCUCAGCCCACCCUGGGGGCUGAGCAGGUGGCCUUGUUUCAUAUGACCCCAGACCAAGAGGCUGGUAUCUCAGAAGUUGCUUGUGUUAAGUUAAUUCUAAAUAUUCAGGGACCACUUAACAAGUCCACACCCCUAAGUUUUUCUCAUGUUCUCGAAAAAUCCUCCGCUGCCUAUAGAUCCCCCCAGACAACGUACCACUACGGACUCUCUUGUCACCUCCUGGCGUGAGCCAGGAGCUUUGUCCUUUCACUGUUACCUCUAAAUAAAAGCCUGUACCUUGCUCUCCUACCUUGACUGUUUGUGAAGCUCAUUCUUCGGCUCCGCAAACAAGAACCCCGGCAUCAACAUUACUAUGAUUUUGCUUCGGAGUCAGCUUCAAUUUCACACACCAAGUGAAGUUAAAUGAGUUGAAGUAUUUAGUGUCUGAACCUCACUUUAAUGAUAGAUGGCCCUGUGAUAUGCCUCAGCCACCUAAUUCAGCCUUGUCUCUAACCCAGGAAGACUGGGGUCUUUUCUGCCUAGCCACACAAAAUAUACUAAUUCCUACUUCUGUGCCUUUGCCCUUCUGGCUCCAGAAACCUGGUGAUGCCGGGAUUCUUUUUCACAAAGCCGAAGAAUGAGCUUCACAAACACUCAAGGUCUAGUCAAAAGUCGACAUCUAAAAGGAGGAAUCCAAUAAUCAAUGCACUAAUUGCUGCAUUGUAUCAAUUGCCGUCACCUUUGGUUGUUUCCUUCUAGGAAAGAUAUGGGCUUCCUGUCUAGUCUCACUGUAAAUUAAAUCAUUGCCCAGAAGGAUAUCUUUUUUUGCCUUUUUUUAAGGAAAUAUUGGUGGUCAGCAAGGCCAGAUUGCUGAGAUAGGUCCCUUGGGGGAGAGAGAGACAAGAGGCUGGCAUCAAUCAAGUGGUCAGAAACUUACAAAGGAAGCUCUUAAGUGGGAAAUGAAAGCUAUAACCCUAUCGUGCCCAUGCUGUCUGCCCCUCUACCUACAUAUGAAGCCUCCUACCUAUCUUGCAGGAACUCUUAGGGCCACAUCUCAAUGUUCAGGUAUUGGGCUGAGGUUGAGGCUACCACCUCCAGCCUAAAGACAGGUCUGAGAGAGAGAGAGAGAGAGAGAGAGAGAGAGGAAUAGAAAAGCAGUUAGACUUACCCAGAUCAGUCCAUUGUCUGUAAUCUUUCACUUCAGAUUCUGCUGGUAUGUUUUAUUUUCAAUGAAUAACCUAAUCAUUUCAAAAAACUGAGGUUUAAAAGUGUGAUUUCAUUCAAUUUUACAUAUGCAAUACUACUGAAUUUCU